GAUUAACGCUGGCGGCGUGCAUAACACAUGCAAGUCGAACGAAGUGGCGGACGGGUGAGUAACGCGUGAGUAACCUGCCUUAGAGAAGGGGAUAGCCUUUGGAAACGAAGAAUAAUACCCUAUGCUCUAAGAUGUACUUGCGUCGGAUUAUUUAGUUGGUGUGGUAACGGCCCACCAAGACAGCGAUCAGGAGCCGGCUGGAGAGAGUGUACGGCCACAUUGGGACUGAGACACGGCCCAGACUCUACGGGAGGCAGCAUCGGGGAAUUUCGCCCAAUGGGGGAAACCAUGAUGCAGCGACGCCGCGUGAUGUAGAAGGCCUUCUGGUUGUAAAAAUCUUUUCUAUGGGAAGCAGUACCAUAGGAAUAAGGACCGGCUAAUUACGUGCCAGCAGCCGCGGUAAUAC
rnacentral:rRNA from 1 species